rnacentral:misc_RNA from 1 species
GAUGAAGAACGCAGCAAAAUGCGAUAAGUAAUGUGAAUUGCAGAAUUCAGUGAAUCAUCGAAUCUUUGAACGCACAUUGCGCCCGCCAGUAUUCUGGCAGGCAUGCCUGUUCGAGCGUCAUUUCAACCCUCAAGCCCUCGGGUUUGGUGUUGGGGAUCGGCGAGCCUUUCUGGCAAGCCGGCCCCGAAAUCUAGUGGCGGUCUCGCUGCAGCCUCCAUUGCGUAGUAGUAAAACCCUCGCAACUGGAACGCGGCGCGGCCAAGCCGUUAAACCCCCAACUUCUGAAUGUUGACCUCGGAUCAGGUAGGAAUACCCGCUGAACUUAAGCAUAUCAAUAAGCGGAGGA